ACGGUCCUAAGGUAGCGAAAUUCCUUGUCGGGUAAGUUCCGACCUGCACGAAUGGCAUAACGAUGGCCCCACUGUCUCCUCCCGAGACUCAGUGAAGUUGAAAUGUUUGUGAUGAUGCAAUCUCCCCGCGGCUAGACGGAAAGACCCCAUGAACCUUUACUGCAGCUUUGCAUUGGACUUUGAACCGAUCUGUGUAGGAUAGGCGGGAGGCAAUGAAACUUUGACGCCAGUCAGAGUGGAGCCGACGUUGAAAUACCGCCCUGAUUUGUUUGAGGUUCUAACCGCAGACAGUGAGCCUGUCUCGGGACCGUGCAUGGUAGGCAGUUUGACUGGGGCGGUCUCCUCCUAAAGGGUAACGGAGGAGUACAAAGGUACGCUAGGUACGGUCGGAAAUCGUGCUGAUAGUGCAAUGGCGCAAGCGUGCUUGACUGCGAGACCGACAAGUCGAGCAGAUGCGAAAGCAGGUCAUAGUGAUCCGGUGGCACUGAAUGGAAGGGCCAUCGCUCAACGGAUAAAAGGUACUCUGGGGAUAACAGGCUGAUACCGCCCAAGAGUUCAUAUCGACGGCGGUGUUUGGCACCUCGAUGUCGGCUCAUCUCAUCCUGGGGCUGUAGCCGGUCCCAAGGGUAUGGCUGUUCGCCAUUUAAAGAGGUACGUGAGCUGGGUUUAAAACGUCGUGAGACAGUUUGGUCCCUAUCUGCCGUGGGCGUUGGAAGAUUGACGGGGGCUGCUCCUAGUACGAGAGGACCGGAGUGGACGCACCUCUGGUGUACCGGUUGUCACGCCAGUGGCAUCGCCGGGUAGCUAUGUGGGGAAAGGAUAACCGCUGAAAGCAUCUAAGCGGGAAACCUGCCUGAAGAUAAGUCUUCCUGGAGGCUUUGACCUCCCUGAAGAGUCGUUCGAGACCAGGACGUUGAUAGGUUGGAUGUGCAAGCGCUGUGAGGCGUUGAGCUGACCAAUACUAAUUGCUCGUGAAGCUUGAUCCU
rnacentral:rRNA from 1 species